rnacentral:rRNA from 1 species
UCGAGAAUCUUCGGCAAUGGACGCAAGUCUGACCGAGCGACGCCGCGUGCGGGAUGAAGGCCUUCGGGUUGUAAACCGCUGUCGUAGGGGAGGAAAUUCCGGAGGGUACUCCCUCCGGAUUGACUGAUCCUAGGAGGAAGGACCGGCUAAUCUCGUGCCAGCAGCCGCGGUAAUACGAGAGGUCCAAACGUUAUUCGGAAUCACUGGGCUUACAGAGUUCGUAGGCGGUUCUACAAGUGGGGUGUGAAAGCCCUCGGCUCAACCGAGGAACUGCGCUCCAAACUGUAGAACUAGAGGAAGAUAGAGGUGAGCGGAACUGAUGGUGGAGCGGUGAAAUGCGUUGAUAUCAUCAGGAACACCGGAGGCGAAGGCGGCUCACUGGGUCUUUUCUGACGCUGAGGAACGAAAGCUAGGGGAGCAAACG